rnacentral:lncRNA from 1 species
UCCUCCUACAUGCAAAGAGCCUACAGAUGGCAUUCCUUUCAAAACAAAGUUUCAGCACUUGGCAAAGAAACAGGAUGCAAUCUGGCUACUGCCGUUAAAGAUAAUAAAAAACGUUUUUAUAAAUACAUCAACACAAAAAUGAGGACUAAGGAGAAUUUCCUUCCUUUACUGGAUGCGGGGGGAAACUUAGUUACAAGAGAUGAGGAAAAGGCAGAGGUGCUUAAUGCCUUCUUUGCCUCAGUCUUUAGCGGCAAUACCGGUUGUCGUCUGGAUACCCAGUACCCUGAGCUGGUGGAAGGGGAUAGGGAGCAGGAUGUGGCCCUCACCAUCCACGAAGAAAUGGUUGGCGACCUGCUACGGCACUUGGAUGCGCACAAGUUGAUGGGGCCGGAUGGGAUCCACCCAAGGGUACUGAGAGAACUGGCAGAGGAGCUGGCCAAGCCCGUAUCCAUCAUUUAUCAGCAGUCCUGGCUAUCAGGGGAAGUCCCAGCUGACUGGCGGCUAGCGAAUGUGACGCCCAUCUACAAGAAGGGCCGGAGGGCAGACCCGGGAAACUACAGGCCUGUCAGUUUGACCUCAGUACCAGGGAAGCUCAUGGAGCAGAUCCUCUUGAGAGUCAUCAUGUGGCACUUGCAGGGAAAGCAGGCGAUCAGGCCCAGUCAGCAUGGGUUUAUGGAAGUCAGAUCCUGCUUGACGAACCUGAUCUCCUUCUAUGACAAAGUGACAUGCUGGGUGGAUGAGGGAAAGGCUGUGGAUGUGGUCUACCUUGACUUCAGCAAGGCUUUUGACACCGUCUCCCACAGCAUUCUCCUCAGGAAACUGGCUGCUCUUGGCUUGGACUGGUGCACGCUUCGUUGGGUUUGAAACUGGCUGGAUAGCCGGGCCAAAAGAGUCGUGGUAAAUGGAGGCAAGUCCAGUUGGAGGCCGGUCACUAGUGGCGUCCCCCAUGGCUCGGUGCUGGGGCCGGUCCUCUUUAAUAUCUUCAUCAAUGAUCUGGACAAGGGCAUUGAGUGCACCCUCAGUAAGUUUGCAGAUGACACCAAGCUAUGCGCAUGUGUCGAUCUGCUCGAGGGUAGGAAAGCUCUGCAGGAGGAUCUGGAUAGGCUGCACCGAUGGGCUGAGGUCAACUGCAUGAAGUCCAACAAGGCCAAGUGCCG